rnacentral:pre_miRNA from 1 species
ACAAUACUAGGACCGUCGGUCUACCGAGCAAUAUCACCCGCUCGUUGAAAGAUCUUCCUUUUGUCGU